rnacentral:rRNA from 1 species
UUGAUCUCAAAUCAGGUAGGACUACCCGCUGAACUUAAGCAUAU